UCGCAGACAGUCGGAAGUGAAGCUCGCCGACAUCAAAUAAACAUUUUGUUUUCAUGUGCGGCUUGUAAUUAGGUGCAAUUAAUGACGCGCGCCGCAGGAAGUUGUUUCCUCGACAGCUGUUUGGGUUAAACGGCUAGCUGCUGUCUGAAGGAAUCUGCUCCCACACCUUGCAACCACUUCUCUAAAGACAGCAAGAACUGGACUUGGUGAAAGAAACAACGUCCGCAUGGAGCUGGAAGGGGCGUGGCCUCCAGCUCCGGCUGAAUUCCGGGAGAUUUUCGGGAGAAAAUUUCUUCCGGGAGGUUUUCGGGAGAAGCGCUGAAUUCCGGGAGUCUCCCGGAAAAUCCGGGAGGGUUGGCAAGUAUGCCUUUAACUUGUCCUACACCCCAGUCUACCCGGCACCACACCUUAGUCAUAGGGGACUCCAUCACCCGGAACACACAGCUUAGCAAACCAGCCAUAAUUAACAUUAACCUUGAAGCUAAUCUUAGGGAGAUAACACGCAACAGGCCUAGUAAACACGUACGACAGGCUAAUCGCACCACUAGCUACGCGAACAUAGUUGUACACGUUGGCUCCCUCCAAUGACAUUAGGAUGAGGCAGUCAGAGAUUACAAAGAGAAACAUAGCUAGGACUUGUAAUCUCGCUAGAAAGAUGUCCAGGCAUCGAGUACUUGUCUCUGGCUCCCUACCUGUGAGAGAGGCAAUGAUUAGUCUCGCUUAACAAGUGGCUGACUAGUUUUUGUAGAGAACAGGGACUAACGUUUAUUGAUAAUUGGCCCUCUUUCUGGGGAUAAAACGGGCUUGCUGAUUAGGGGCGGCCCUCACCCUAACCGGUAAAACGCCAUCACUCUAGUAACAUAGAUUACUGUUUGAGUCACACUUGACUAACUACACUAGAGCAAACUCAGACACAGGCAAUUACAGUGUCUGUUAGUCUGGGUGAGGAGUCAGUUAAGCUAGAACUAACCAGCGUCAGGCUGGAAAAUUUCUGCACACACAGCAUUUCUCCUAGGAUUAUACACAACUCACACAAUGUUUUUUCUGUAGUGACUGUGCUAGAAGUGAACAUCCAUUCUACUGAAGUGGCAAAUUAUGACACGUUUAAUCUAUCACAGCACCAAGCAAAUAAUCUGAAGAUCCCCAUUUUGUCAAUUCCUAGAUAUGGUCGAAAUUAUUUGAGGUGCACUACAUAAAAUAAACGUAAUGUUAUCAAUAUCACUACUACGGAUAACAUUAACAAAAACGCCUCAAAGCAUCCCACUACCUAUAAUAUGGGCUUUUUAAACAUCAGAUCAUUUUCUCCCAAAACGGUAUUAGUUAAUGAGGUCAUUAGAGACAACAAUCGUCAUUGAUUUCAGCGAAACCUGGCUGAACCAAGAUUAAUCUUUCCCGCUUAACGAGGUAUCUCCUCCUAACUAUACGAAUGCACAUAUUGCCCGUCUCCUUAAAAGGGAUGGAGGAGUUGCACUAAUAUCAGGGUUUCCCGCAGCGCUUUGUUGUUAAGGUGGCCGCCUUAACAACAAAGAGCCACCGCCUAAACUAAAGUCUUAACAAGCUGCUCCGCUUAGUUCCGCCUGUGCCUCUGUCAGUACGUCUCUGCAGCACCCAGCAUUGUCCCACCCACAGAACCAUCUGAUUGGUUAAAUGCAGAGCGGUAACAGCCAAUCAGCAAUGCGUAUUCAGAGCACAUGUAACAGCCAACCAGCAGUGCGUAUUCAGAGCGCAUGUAACAGCCAAUCAGCAGUGCUUAUUCAGAGCGCAUGGAAUCAGUGCUCAGGCAGGCAGAGAGGAGAGACGGUGGGUUGAGCAGAAAAGUGUUUAGCAGGUGAGCAUAAUGCAGCGGGCUCUCCCCAAAUUAUAAUAAACACUUCCAAGUCAACUACUAGUAAUAUCGCUAUGAGCCCGUUGACGUUCUAGAAACAUAAGCGCCAGCUUAGCUCGCUCGCAGUCCUUGAGUUGAAGGCUAAUUAGCUUUUAGUGUAACGUUAGCUCAUUUUGCAGUGUGUGCGUGCGUGUGUGUUACGGACAGUAAAGCCCUGUCUGUGAGAGAAAGACAAGCAUUAUUGACCUACAGUUAACAACUAAGUUAUUUCACUCUACCUUUUUCUGUGUUGAUUGAGCUGUGUUGAAGCAGCAAAAAAGGACAUUAUGUUAAAUAGUCCUUGUCAUCACCUCCCGUACACUAAAGUAAUGUCCGAUCAUUACCUUAUUAAAUUUGAAGUUGUGACUUAGUGUCAACAAGCUACUAUGACCACUGCUUUAGCAGCCGCAACAUUAAUGCUGUCACAACUAGGACUCUUGCUGGCCUACUGCCUUCGGUAAUGGUGCCAUUCCCAAAUUAUGUGGGCUCUUUCGAUAACUUCACUAACAAAUUUAAUGAUGCCCUGCGCAACGCCAUUGAUAGUAUAGCACCGCUAAAGCUAAAAAAGGCCCCUAAAAGGUGUACCCCCUGGUUUACAGGAGAAACCAGAGCUCUUAAACUAUCAUGGUGAAAGAUGGAACGCAAAUGGCGUGCGGCUAAACUUGAGGUUUUCCAUCAAGCAUGGAGUGAUAGUUUAAUAACUUAUAAACACGCGCUUACCUUAGCUAAAACUAAUUACUACUCCAAUCUCAUCCGCCUCAAUAAAAACAAUCCUAACUAUUUGUUCAGUACAGUAGCAUCGCUAACCCAACAAAGGACUCCUCCCAGUAGCUCCACCUACUGGCAAUCAUUGAGGGCGGACGCUCCCUUUUCCUCUCCCUUAUCUCUCUUGCUUGCUUCAUUGUCUUGUCUUAACUUUUUUGUUGCCUCUUUUUGCACUGCUCUCCAAAUCUAAACAUUGGAACUA